AUUGAACGCUGGCGGCAGGCCUAACAAAUGCAAGUCGAACGAUUGGCGGACGGGUGAGUAAUGUCUGGGAAACUGACUGAUGGAGGGGGAUAACUACUGGAAACGGUAGCUAAUACCGCAUACCAUCAGAUGGGCCCAUGUGGGAUUAGCGUGUUGGGGGGGUAAAGGCUAACCAAGGCGAAGAUCCCUAGCGGGUCUGAGAGGAUGAACAGCCACACUGGAACUGAUACACGGUCCAGACUCUGACGGGAGGCAGCAGUGGGGAAUAUUGCACAAUGGGCGCAAGCCUGAUGCAGCCAUGCCGCGUGUAUGAAGAAGGCCUUCGGGUUGUAAAGUACUUUCAGCGGGGAGGCGUUACCCGCAGAAGAAGCACCGGCUAACUCCGUGCCAGCAGCCGCGGUAAUUC
rnacentral:rRNA from 1 species